UACGUAGGGUGCAAGCGUUAUCCGGAAUUAUUGGGCGUAAAGAGCUCGUAGGCGGUUUGUCGCGUCUGCUGUGAAAACCCGAGGCUCAACCUCGGGCCUGCAGUGGGUACGGGCAGACUAGAGUUCGGUAGGGGAGUCUGGAAUUCCUGGUGUAGCGGUGAAAUGCGCAGAUAUCAGGAGGAACACCGGUGGCGAAGGCGGGUCUCUGGGCCGAAACUGACGCUGAGGAGCGAAAGCGUGGGGAGCAAACAGG
rnacentral:rRNA from 1 species